CCCUAUCAAAUAGGAGGCUUUAAAAAUAUCGGUAAUUAGGAAACUCAAAAAAUAGGGGACCACCGCACGCUGUGAGUGCAGAAUCUCGGUCGACCGCUGUAUGAAGAUAAGUUAAUAACAUCAUAAUUUCCUAGUAAAUUGCGCGAAAUUAUACUCGUAUCAA
rnacentral:misc_RNA from 1 species